rnacentral:sRNA from 1 species
UUUUAGCCCCGAUUGCAGUGGAAAUCCUUUUUUGAGGCUUUUCGCCGAAGAAAAGAUUGCAACGUAAAGCGGGAUUAGCU